GAGCCCAUAGCGCAGAGGUCGUCGCGCCUCCAUGCCAUGGGGGAGGACGCCGGUUCGAAUCCGGCUGGGCCCC
rnacentral:tRNA from 1 species